UGACAUUUCUAGGGAUGAAGUAGAUGUCAUUAUCACAUAGCUGGAUUCUAGCAUAGCGAAUGCCUUCUCGUCUCAUUUGGUUUAGCUUGGCUUCAUCCACCCACUGAACACACUAGAAGGAGAAAAUAGGUUGAAGGUGUGCCUGCUAUUAUUAUUUGAAAGAAGUCUGCCUGGAUUCUACCUUCAUAGCAGAUCACCACUGUACUUACCAUUCACCAAACUGUACAGCUUUCAGCACUCCUACAGCAGCUGUACUCUGCCAGUCAAACCCCUGCCCAACAUGAUCAGCAUGUGCUCUUGUUCUGUCUUCAAAAAGAACUUCACGGGGUUCACUGGUCCGAGGAUGAUGGGUUACAUCCAGACUAAAAUUUUCAUCAGCAGAAUGGAGUUUUCCUGCCUCCCACUGAUCUCCACGAAAUACUGCUUCUGAGUGACAGGGGAAUCUGUGGAAUUACAUAAGGAGGGUCUGCAAACAAAGAGGAGAAUUGGUAGAAACUGACAAUUUGGUCUGAAACCAAAUAGAUGGAAGCACCUUAAAAAUGUUUUAAUUUUGUUUUAGGGUUUUUAAAUGUAUUAUUUCAAUAUGCUAAAGUUUGGGGGAGGUAUUUUACUUUUGUAAUUAUUUUGAGGAAUAGUUUUCUGGUCCAGAAAUUUUAGCACCCAAAAUCAUGACCUUUAAAAAAACCACAACCAUUUGGGGAGCCCCUCUCCCAGUCAGCAAGAGUGGGGAGGGAGAGUAGGAUCAAGAGGAAGCUGACCCCCACAAACAGUUGUCUGGUCAGCCUCACUGGGUCCUUUAAAUUUGAAAGGGCUUUUAUUUUCUAUAGGAAUCAUCCUGGUCUUCAGAAGCUUGUCACAGAAAAUAGCCUUUUAAUAUUUAAAGGGAUUAGGUUUAAUUAAACAGCUGUUUGCCAAAGCCAGCUUUCUCUCUUCUCUCCACUUCUGGCCUUCUAAAAUUCCAGGGGAUAAAUUAUUGCACCUGAUCAUAAUCCCAAAGAUGACCAACAAGAAGGAUACUCCAGUGUCAGUCAUAAAUUGUACUGAUACAUUGGUGAAAUAGUACAUCCCAUCCAAAGCACUGAUCUACUCAAGCAAGAAGUUCUACAUUGAUUUAAAAACAGUAACUAUAUAACCUCCACAAAUUGAACAAUAGUCAUGCCCACUAUUGUAGCAGACCCACUUCUAUGGACUCACAACCCUGAAUUAAUAAAAAUCUUUCUUAAACACUUCAGCAAAAUAUUCAAGGGUCUCCCUUCUCCAUCACUUUUAAGGACAGUUUCCCAAAGCAAAAUAGCAAUUUAGAGAUUACAAAUCAAGACAGACAACUUCAAAUAUUUUGUCCUACUCAAGAAUGGACAAUUUGUUUAUUUAAAAACAUUCCAUUCAAAUGGGUGUCCCAAGGCAGUGAACAUUAAAACAUUUCAUACUUUAAAAAUAUUUAAAAUAAUGUAUAUCUAGAAUAAUUCAAUGAAAACAUAAACACACAACACUACGCUGAACAUAUACAAGGCACAAGGUAUUACACUGUUUAUACAUGGUAUCAAGAUGUACAGCACUUUACACAGAAGCAACGGAAAUAGUUUUCUGGUCUUGGCACAAGGAAGCACAAGGAGGGGAAGAAGAAGGAAGGAAGCUUAAAAAGGAAAAGAACAUGUGUUUAGAAACAUCUUUGGGAUGCACACUAACAGACAUGGUUUCAGAAUUAGAACUAGAAGAAAAAGAUCAAUGAUGUAGACCUGAUCAUCAGUUUUCCUCCCACUGUAAAAUGUCAUCUUCAAUAAUAAAAGUAGUAUUACCUGCGUCGCUUGA